GCGCAGAAAAGAAAGGAGUGGCGAGGGAUGGAGAGAAAAAGAGGAAAAGGGAGGGAGAGGGUUACAUAUCCUCCUCCUCAGGAAGUGUGAAAGUGUGUUGAUUAGCCAUCGCUGUGGGGCAGCUAAUUCUGACGCCCGACCAACACUGAAGAGGCAGCAGACGGAAAAAGACACAAGAAAGGGAGGACAAGAUGAAUACAGGAUGGGUAAACAAAUUCAGCGUUUAAGAAAACGUAAAGAAAUUCCCAAGAGCCGUGCGCGCUCACAUAUGUGCGAAGACACGAGCCCGGUGUGAGCGAGGAGUUUUCGCCUUGGAGACCAAUUUACAGACAGAAUGAUUGACACACAGAUAACAGCCUGAAAAGACUGGUGCGUUGGAAUACCCGGCCCUUGAUUCGUGUCAACGUUCCCCAUGUAAUGCUUUCAACUGCACGGAGCAUUAAGCUACAGCUUACCUAUUGGAGCAAUGCCAUUUUUUAACGUUUCGCAAAAAGGCCCAUAACACCCAGGUUUGGAAGUUGAAGCACAAGACAUGAGCCAUCUAAAAAGGCCUUUAAGAAGAAGAAAAAACCCAAAGCAGAUGAAAACAGAUAAGGUCGAGCAACUUCUCGGAGUUGUCAACUCGUGUGUGAGCGUGCGCGAGGGGUCUACAUGACAGGACUAGGCCGUUCACACACCCCCUCUCCCUCAGGCAUCUCAGAUGUUAAUUGAGGAGGUCCUCCAGUGGCCAGCCCUACAUAGCCGAAGCGGUGAGCUCUUUUCCCCGUGGGGAGACACGACUGAUACUGUACUAAUCUCUCCUCUCUUCUCAAAUCAUUCUCCACAUCAGCCGCCACUUUAAUUAAUUCACACAGACGCGCUUGACAAGGUCAAGCAGUUAAACGCACUGUUUUAUAUAUAUAUAUCUCCACCACCACACCGUCCUCUCGAUCAUUAGUUCCUCCUCUCCUCCUUUUUAAUCUUUCACUUCGUCCAAAUAAAGGGCUGUUCAUUAGUAGCUUGUGCCGUGUCUCCUUCGUCAGUGAAGAGGAGUCAUCAAAACAGGGGAGGCAGGUACACCAGAUGAGAAAACACGCAUCCUUUCUGUCUUUCACUUUACUUUCUUUCUCCUCUUUCUUUUUUGUUUUGUGUUGAUGAGCUUCUUUAAUUGGGCCACUACAGAGGCGAAGCAAAUCCUCAAUAAUUAAAAAAUCUAAUUACGGAGUCUUUUGCAUCUCUGGCAAUAAUUAUUCCUCGUGGAGUCACUGGAUAGUGAACAUUUCUUCUAUUUUCAUUUCAGUUUUACAGGGGGAAAAGUCUGCUUUCUCCUUAAUGCUUUAUCCCUCCUCUUUUCAGUCUCGUUUCCUCCUCCUUCCCCUUUGCAGCUUUCUCAGGACAAACUUUUUGAUGGCUGUCACUGAUCUUAAACAAUAAAAACACUUAAACACCCACAUGCAGUACACCUACACACAUAUGAGGUGAGCAGCAGUAUGAGUAAACAAAUUAAUAAAAUCACACAAUGAGUAACUUUACAUCAUGUUAACAGUAAAUGGGAUUCUAUAAUCUUUGAAUAAAACAAAAAUAAAACUAUAAACUUUUAUGUAUACAUUCUCUUAUAUACAUAAUCCAUAUGCUAUAUUACACUACUUAUGUUUAAUCCAGUAAAUUAAAUACUUAAAUACCUAUUAAUGACCAGUUCUCCAUAAAACAUAGCAUGGCAAUGGGCACAUCAUGCCGUCAUGCAAACCAAACAUAUCAUAUAUAUAUAUUGUUGGCAACCAGGUGUUCAAGAACAUUGACGUUGAUCGUCUGUCUUUGCUUAUGUACACCCUGCUGUGCUUUAUAACAGUGUAAGAAGCCCCCUGCUGCCCCUCAGAGCAGGAGAACAAGACUAACUGAAAGUGAUUGACAAAAAAUCUGUUACAAUUAAUGUCCUUUGUGGUGUUCUUGUAGGAGAUGCAAUUUUUAGACCAGCUUGAGUCAUUUGCUGAUCCUGUUCCACACCUUUGCAUCAUUUUAUACUUUCACUGUACACUAACACUGAAAAUGGAAAUAAAUAAAUAAAUAAAAUCAUCUAGAACUCGAGACAUGAGUUUAAAGAGACUUUUUCCCCAGUAAAAAAAUAGUCUUACUUUCAUGACCUUAAGAGUUGCUAAUUUUCUCUCCUGAGAAGCCCUGCAGUGUUACAAAUUAAUUUUUCAGAACAAAUCCAGAUUCAGAAUGAAUUUAAUCCCAUUUUUCAA